UGAAUUUCCGGUGUCGUCGCCUCUUGCCUCUCUCUCUCCUACGUGUGAUUUCAGGCGAAGAUCUGAGGAAGACCUCGACGCCGAAAGAAACCCAAACACAAUGGCAAACAAACAGCGAAUGAGGAUUGCUAGUGAAAAGCACAGCAAAAACAUUACUACGCGAGGAAAUGUCCCCAAAACAUUGAAAAAUUCUGAAGAGAAGUCUCCUGUUGGCCCAGCAUUGAUGGCUUUGUUCUUGUUUGUUGUCUGUGGCUCAGCCGUCUUCCAGAUCAUCCAGAGCAUCCGCAUGUCAUGACGAGACUGACCCCGACUUGGACCAAGCAGAGGGCGGCUGGCUGCGCGAACCUCUCUACUGGCUGCUACACAAGGGAAAAACGGAAACUUUGAGAGAGAAUGUCUGAGCCUAUGUGUACACGUGUUUGUUUGUUGGUUUGUGUGUGUGUGUGUGAGUGAAGAUGUGAAGUGAACUGCUGUAAGCUGGUCUGUCUGUGUGCGCUAGGGUGGCCGGUGUGUUGUGUUUGGUGAGAGAUAUGCAUGGGUGGGAAGAAAAAUAAGAAAAAAAAGCGCCAAAAAACAAAACAAACCCCCACAAAAAGAAAGAAUGAGAAAAAAAAACGACCUAAAAAAUACCUGUGAAAUGUAAUUGCAAUGUAUUUAUGUGGUAGUCCUGUCCUGGUGGAGUGAUGUCCUUUCUCUAUCUCGUCUCGCCGAAGAUGAGUGGGAGGAGGCGUCUGUGCGUGGUUGUGUGCAAGAUUUGAUGGGGGGGGGGGGGGAAUUCUGUUCACCUUUGAGCUCUGUCUGUUCUUUGUUCUUUCUUCCUUCUCUAUACUGCUGUUGUCUGUGGGUACUGUCAUUGAAUCUGAUGAUAGACGGCUGUCGCCCAUUUCCAAAAGUGUUGGUGCUUUUGUCAAUGCUUGUUACAAUUAUGGAACCAGUUGGGACAGAAUCUUUCAGGUUGGAAGAGUUGUUGUUACAUUUUAAUUUUAAUUUGUUGACAUCAAGUUUGUUUUAGAUUCUGCAAGAAAGUAAGUAAGAUUUUGAUGUUAUUUUGUGAUGCCUUUUACUUUUGGUUGUUAGAAGGAUGCCAUUAUUUGAAACUUAGUCAUGGUGCAAGGGUUUGUUUGGGUUUUUUUUGGAUGAUUUUUGUAUAAAAUUUGGGGGAAAGGAAAAGAUGUCUGUUGUGUGAUGAGAAUUCUUGUUCUUUUAGCAGGGCUGCCUACCAUUCCAAUUUUUUCGUAAUCAAUACGAUUUGUUAGCCUCACUACGAAAUUCUGAUCGUAAGGCGAUUUAUUACAAUUUUUACCGCCAGCAGAUUUUUGGCUAUAAAAAAAUAUUUGUAGCUUUUUAAAAAAUUUUACAAGGCUUAGUUCAGACAUGUUAAUCGUCCGCCAAUGGUCGGAAAGCCGCCAAUCUCUAAAUCAACCCCCGCCCCCCCUAAAAAAAAAGAGAACAGCAGGCCCACUUGGCGCGAGUUAGCCUUGCCCACAAUAAUACAUACCGUAUGCGAGUAAAAGCUUAGAAACAUGGCUGCCACGCUCCUGGGACCCAAGCAGUCUGAAAAUUACAUGUAUUUUUGUUCGUUGUAAUAUAGUAAUUUGAAAAUGAGAGCACUAUUACUAAUUUUUUUGGGAAAUUACAAAUUUUCUUCAUGGUCAUUACUAAAAACCAUGGAGAUGGGUUGGCAGCCCUGUUUUAGUAGUCAACCCCUACUGCACACUGUUCCAUUGUUUUUAGCACAUGACAGAUAGUGGAUCUUUAAUUGUAUCCCAAGACAUGGGAUAGAGAAAGAAUGAAGGAAGAUUUUAUGGUUUUUUAAACUGCAGAACUAGUCAGCUUGAGUGGGCUUUGGAGAUUGUGGUAUGAACGGUACGCCACAGAUUUACAUUCUGUGUUUUGUUGAAGUCAAGUGAAAUGUUUCCUCCGAUACUAUUUGAUUUACAUGUUGACAAACGUAAUGAAAUAAAUGGCUAUGGUAGGUGUAUGUAUAGCAAGUUAGUGCAAUUUCCGAUUAUGGGAAAAAAAAUGAAACAGUGCACACACAUCAUCUUACGCUCUCAGCAGAUGUUUAAUGUAAGGAGAAAUGUGAAGACAGAAUUUGUGUUUUUGUAAGUUUCCAACUGGUACAUUAAGUGAUUUUGAAAGUUAUUGCACGGUCCGUCAGCUUCAUCAUCUCUGUCAUCUCUCUCCGUCUGUUGGGCUACGGGUUAUUUUUGUCAAGUUUUUUUCUUCGAUGGAUGAACCAGCGUGCAAUUCUAUGUUUCCCACAGAUACAAACGUUGUCUGGUGUUUGGGUUUUGCCGCACACUUCACAGAAUAAAACUUUACAUUGUUUUAUUUCUUCA
rnacentral:lncRNA from 1 species